UCGCUGCGGCGGCGCACGAAAGGUCACCGCGGUGCCAUGGCUCUCCGCGCCCUGUUUACGCGACUUAAUGCACUUCUGCGCCGCGGCUCGUUAUCUGGGCCACCCAAUAACCGACGAAAGAUUUCCCCUCUGUGUCUCCCAAGGCCGCUUUAAACCAAAUAAAUUUAGCUAUUAAGGCCCAAGAUGUCUGACAAAAGAUCGAAAGGUGUCUUCCCGUGAUCGCUUCAAGAAGCGGAGGACAAGCUUGUGGCUCUCGGAUCCCGAUAAAGACAUUCCACUCCGGCGCCGGCCGCCCUCCCCACGGCCUGGUAGCGCCCGACACCCUGAGGUCUCCACGUCAGCCGCCCAGAUGUCGGGACCUGUGUCUGCUGCACCCGGAAUGUGGCGGUCCCACAGGUUGCCGGACCUAAGGGUGCCAGACCCUGGGGUCUGAGCAGCUGUGGAGCUCGAGACCCGGGCUGGGGUCCCAAGACAGAGCCCCACCCCUGCACUUGGCAGAAAAACCCAACCGAGUUCAGUGAGGUCUGAAUUGCUAGCCCAUUUUGAUUAUUCUGUGAUGCUGAUAAGACAAAAGUAACACCCUACCUUGCCGCCCCGCUCACUCACUGCCGUUCUGCUGAGGGGCAGUGUUACCCACGUCCCUGGUGGCGGCUGCUUCUUCAGGCAAAGGAGAUGAGGAAAGUGGAGGUACCAAGGGCUUAAAAAAGUAAAGAAGAUGAUCAAAGGCAUAAAGAAGAGAUAGAAUGUCAUGCAUUCCUUAUUGGGGAUUAUUUAAGUCAUAAACACCCUUUCUGUUACAGCACAUUCCAAUAUUCUGUUUUCACAAUGACAAAUGUGCCAAUAGUUUUUGUUGUUGUUGUUAAAGAUUUAUUUGUUUAGGCACACAAGAGCUGGGGUACAGGCCAGAGGUGUGGGGGGUAAGAGGAGUCACCAGAGACAGAGUGGGGAGCAGAACAGGCAGAUUGACUGAAAUACACUGCUGAGGGGAGCAGCGGGUUAUACAGGAGAGGUCUGCAGUGCCAUGUGGGUAGCUCCCUGGCUGAGGAUGAAUUCAUGAUGCAGUGGUUAUGGAUAGCUUCAUAGUGCUGAGACUUAACCCCUUGCACCACCAGGGAGGCCCUCUACAUGAUAUUUUUAAAUGCAACUUUUUCUUCUACAUCCUCCUAAAUAGAAUCUUCAAACGGAAAGUUUGAAUAUCAGCUUUAAGGAGGAGUUUACAUUAAAUAGAGUUGAUUAUCAAAUGAUAGUAUAAAUCAAUUUCUUAUCCCAAAAUCCUAAUACAAAACUAAUCCCAAUUGUAGCCCGUGGCACUUUCUAAUCCCAGGCAUUGUAGGCUUGGACCUACAAAGGAGUUGCUCUGAGACUGUUAAUGCAGUGGGAAUCAUUCCUUUACUUGCAAGACUUUUUCUCAGUUUUUAUAGACUUUAUAUUUUACUACACUCUACUACCACCAACUUCGGAGCACCCCCUCUCCACAUUUUUUCUCCUAAUUCAGCCACAGUAAAAUAUUAUAUUAUCCACAAGGGACUAUGGUGAUUGUUCAUGGGUGAAUUGGUGGUGGGAAGUUUACAGGAAGUACACCUGAGAGGAGAAAGCAUACAAGCAUACAUUAUACCAAAUGAACAAUAAUGUAAAAUAUAUGUAUUAAAAUGAAAUUACAAAUAUGAUAAAAUACAUUGAAGUAAAAAAUGUAAUUUUGCUGAUGAUUAAAAGAACUAACUAUUCUUGGCAAAUAAGAUGAAAUAUUACAUUGUCUAUAUUAGUCAAUAAUUUAUUAAGCCAAUUAGAGCAAUUCAAAAGAAGAAUUAAAGGCCAGUAGUACAAAUCAGCGAGAAUUUUUUAAACGUCAGUGGCAUCCCCAGCACCAUGAAUAAGAAGCGUGGGUGUCACUUCCAUUUUCACGGCUGAGUGCACACAUCUCUGGUUGUCAUCCUAAUUUUAAGGAACAGAUUUCCGUCUCAAGAGACUAACCAUUAGGUGUAACAUAAAGAAACAGAUUUAUGACUGCACCUAUUAAAAAUAUAAUAGGAUAAGAGCAUACCAAAAAAAGGGGAAAGAGUACGAGAAAAAUAAAUGUCACUUCUGAGGGAUUCAUUUAAAUUAAGUUCCUUUCUUUUUUGCUGAACUCAAGAAUACUAUCAUUUAUGUUUUCCAUUGUGUUGUUUGGGAUAAUCCAGGCUUCUCUUCAUUCAGGGGAAGUGCCUAAUAUGCGAACUGGUGACCUAGCUGAAGAAAACAGCCAUCAUCCACACCAAGAGUCUUCCCACCCCAAAUACACAGGAGCAGGACAAAACAUGCUACGGAAAUUAAUUAACAUGCUUUCCCACAACACUAUAAAAGGUGGAGCACCUUACAUGAUUACCAUAGGAGCUGUGAACUGAAGAUAAGGAAGAAACCAAAAAUUAUUGUCUCUCACUUCCUUCCCCCUUGCACCAACUCAGGGGCUUACCUUCAGUGAUGCCUCUUCAAGGCAUCAUCUGGGACAUAAUGCUUAGUAAAUUCAGGGGAGAGAAGCUGCCUCCAGUUGAAUUUCUGCUGUCAGAGCAACUCCCAGGCCACAGCAAAGGUGUCUUCUGGACACUUCUUUGUAGAGGGCCAUACAAUGAGCCACAACAGAACAGAGAAUAGGAAUGAUAUGGAAGAUUCCAAUGCGCACCCUCUAACACUCCAGAAGAAUGAGAUCUAUUGACUUCUUUUGAAUCAACAUAUAUGGGAAGAUCCAAGUAAUUGUGUAAGAUAAGUCAAACUGCCUCUGGUCCCUGUUCUCAUACCCUGUGCUAGGUGACCACCAGGAGCUCUCAGGAGCUAACUCCCUCCCUUUUUCCCUGCCCACAAUCCAUCCCCUUUUCCCCCCAAUAGCUAACAACCAGGUUGAUCUAAGCCAGUGUGCUACUGAGAGUUAAUGGGAUGAUGACCAGCCCAUCAGGGUGAUACAUUGUUGUUUCAGUGGAGAUUUUGUAUAGUACAGUUUCUUAAAGGAGUGAUUGGUGGAAUUUCAGUCUCUUGGUAAUCUAGUGAGCAAGAUUAGGAGACAGAGUCUCUAAGUAAUAUUUAACUCCUACCAGGUAGGCGAUCACCUACCACACUUUCAGGCAAGGUAGGUUUUGCUUAACCAUGACUUGAAAUAUGAAUAUUUUUAUUUCAGGCUGCUCUCUGUGUUUAGUUGGUCACUUGUUUUUUAAUCUCUAACUUAAGUGCUGAACCAAUAGUAUUAUAAACCAUUGCAUUUUUGUGUUGAAAACAUCAAGAUGCCAAACACCUCUACUCUAAGAAAAAAAAAAAUCCCUGUUUUCACUCAUCCGGGGUGGAGAAGGAGGAAAUAACUAUUUGCUUUUGCUUAGAAAUAUGAGCCUGUUAAGAUCUCAGGUUUCCAUAAAACUGACAAAUCAAAAAGUGAGUUUGCUAUAGGAAAUAAGGUAUUCUGUGUAUAAAUAUUUAGAGGCAAGAUGAGAGAGCUAUUCUAGAAUUUUAAAAAUGGUUAUAAUAAUGAUGGUAAGUCAUCAACUGCUAUGAAAACAAACAAGAUACAGCUUGCUGGACAAGAAAUGAACAAUCUUCAAAUGCCAUCCAUAUUAUUCAAGAAGACUGUGCGAUUAUAGGGAUUCUCUUUUACUCACUUUAAAUGAACCAGUAACAAAGAAUCAUAGAACGUUAAAGCUAAAAGAUUCCUUAAACUUCAUCUAAUAUUACACCUUAUGAGAAACCUGAGACCCAGAGGAUCUCUCAUCACUUAUUUUAAAGGUGUCUGUUUGAAACUUAGAGCAGAUUUUCUCAUAGAAAAAUGUGAUAACUGUGAAAAUACUUCUCUUCUCCCUCCCAUUAUAAACUAUUAUAUACUUGAAUAGUUCUGUUUCCUAGUAUUGCUGUCUGCAAGUGUAUCGUGUAACGCACAUUCUAAGUUAGUAUGUGCAACUGACUACCAUUUAUAAUAUUGCAUCAGAAGGAAGACACAGCCUCUAACGAUGAGCCAUGCAUUGCUUACAUAUAAGAUACCUCUACUCAUCUGUAAAAUAAAUAUUUUUGGUUCCAAGAUACAGAAACUCUUCUUUAAUACCAAAAACAUUCUUGUGUUCUUGUAACAGAAGUUCAGAGUGGGCAAACUUCAGUCAUGUUAACCCAGGAGCUCCUGCUCUGUUUCUUUGUCACUCCCUUGCAUGUGCCUCUCCUGUUUGUUGGCAUAUCUUUAGGUUCCUUGUCUCCGGUAACAAAAAGACUGCAAUGGUUCCUAUACUUCCCAGCACCCAGAAACAUCAGGACCCUAGAUAUAUGACUCAUUCUUGGUCCACUGAUAAACUUGCUUUGGUAUCAUUGACUUGGAAGAAACAAUGGUGGUCCACUUGCCUAGGUCUCUCUCAAUCAAUCAUACAGUAAGAAUUGCAGGGUUAACCAUGAGGUUAUUUUUUUAAAAAUGUACAAAGAAUUGGAAAAUCAAUCCUGUCUUCCCAGCUACCCUCAUGUUAGUAAAAGUACAUUUUCACAAUUCUCCUUAAAAUCUCCUCUUUUUGAUUAAUGGUGCUUACAAUGUUCAUUCAUGAGCCAUCAAACUGUAAAAUGUAAUAAAUGGGUUUGUGAUUGGAAAAUAAGCUGGAAUUGGAUUCAUGACAAUCAAUGAAACAAGGGUCAAUUACUCAGGCUUCUCAACAAAAUUGUCCCACAUAAAGAUUGAUUUCUAUCUUGUUCUCACUGUAUUCCAAAAAUCCCUCUUUCUAAAAUAGUGGUUUCCCAGUAAAUUACUGGCUCAGAGCCCAGGUCUCUCUUCCUGGAGCUUUCCAGAGUUCCAAGUAGCUGCAGUCUUGCUUGACUGAAGGCCUGGAAAUUAAUUGUUCUGUUAAGGGUUAAGUUUAAAAUAAUCUAUUGUGUUGCAAUGGUAAUGAUACAUUUGAUGCUCAUGAUUGCUCAUAGUCUUUUUAAAUGGUACCUUGAAGACACUGUGCCUGCUAAUUCUAGGAACUGAAGGUUACCUGUACUGGGUGUGGAGCCAAGUUUCCUAUCUGACACCUGGUCUACCAGUACCUGAGGUGGAAGACACAGCAGCAGAAAAAGGCAAGCAAGAGUAGCAUUUUCUUUAUAAGGGUAAAUAA